rnacentral:rRNA from 1 species
ACCGGCAGCUCAAGUGGUGGCCAUUAUUAUUGGGCCUAAAGCGUUCGUAGCCGGUUUGAUAAGUCUCUGGUGAAAUCCCGCAGCUUAACUGUGGGACUUGCUGGAGAUACUAUCAGACUUGAGGUCGGGAGAGGUUAGGGGUACUCCCAGUGGUGGCGGAAAAGGCGCGAAGCUGGGGAGGAGAAACUACCGCGGGGGCGGCGAACGUGUUUAAUCCUCUUGUGAGUCUGGUUGGUUUUUUGUUUCGAUAGA